CGCCUUGCCAGCCCGCUCAGAACUUAAAGGAAUUGACGGGGCCCGCACAAGCGGUGGAGCAUGUGGUUAAUUCGAUGAUACGCGAGGAACCUUACCUGGGCUCAAAUGUAUGUUGACGUAUUCUGAAAGGGAUACUUCUUCGGACAAUAUACAAGGUGCUGCAUGGUUGUCGUCAGCUCGUGCCGUGAGGUGUCGGGUUAAGUCCCAUAACGAGCGCAACCCCUAUCAUUAGUUGCCAUCGGGUCAAGCUGGGGACUCUAAUGAAACUGCCUACGCAAGUAGUGAGGAAGGUGGGGAUGACGUCAAAUCAGCACGGCCCUUAUGUCCAGGGCGACACACGUGCUACAAUGGCCGGCACAACGGGAAGCGAGUUCGCGAGGACGAGCGGAUCCCUCAAAGCCGGUCGCAGUUCGGAUUGAAGUCUGCAACUCGACUUCAUGAAGCUGGAAUCGCUAGUAAUCGUGGAUCAGCCAAGCCGCGGUGAAUACGUUCCCGGGCCUU
rnacentral:rRNA from 1 species